CGCGUAGGCGGUUGUGUUAGUCAGAUGUGAAAUACUUCAGCUCAACUGAAGAAAUGCAUUUGAUACUGCAUAACUAGAGUACAGGAGAGGGAAAUGGAAUUCCCGGUGUAGAGGUGAAAUUCGUAGAUAUCGGGAGGAGCACCAGUGGCGAAGGCGAUUUCCUGGCCUGAUACUGACGCUGAGGCGCGAAAGCGUGGGGAGCAAACAG
rnacentral:rRNA from 1 species